rnacentral:rRNA from 1 species
AAGCGGUGGAGCAUGUGGCUUAAUUCGAGGCUACGCGAAGAACCUUAUCCUGGACUUGACAUGUGCGAAAGCGUCAGGUGGUAGAAGCCGGAAACGGUGACGAAUCCCGCAAGGGAGAGCCUGAUACAGGUGCUGCAUGGCUGUCGUCAGCUCGUGUCGUGAGAUGUCGGGUUAAGUCCCAUAACGAGCGAAACCCUUACCCUUAGUUGCAACCCAAAAGGGCACUCUAGGGGGACUGCCGGUGUUAAACCGGAGGAAGGUGGGGAUG